rnacentral:tRNA from 1 species
GAGAGGUUAGUUAAAUAAUAACACCGCCUUGUCAAGGCGAAAUAAUGGGCUAAAACCCCAUACCCCUUUA